rnacentral:rRNA from 1 species
UACAGAGGGGGCAAGCGUUGUUCGGAAUUACUGGGCGUAAAGGGCGCGUAGGCGGCCCGCUAAGUCGAACGUGAAAUCCCCGGGCUCAACCCGGGAACUGCGUCCGAUACUGGCGGGCUUGAAUCCGGGAGAGGGAUGCGGAAUUCCAGGUGUAGCGGUGAAAUGCGUAGAUAUCGGGAGGAACACCGGUGGCGAAGGCGGUUCUCUGGGCCUUACCUGACGCUGAGGAGCGAAAGCAUGGGGAGCGAACAGG